rnacentral:rRNA from 1 species
UACAGAGGUCUCGAGCGUUAGGCGGAAUCACUGGGCUUAAAGCGUGUGUAGGCGGAUCGUUAAGUACCUUGUGAAAUCCCAUGGCUUAACCGUGGAACUGCUUGGUAUACUGGCGGUCUUGAGCCAGCUAGGGGCUACCGGAACAAAUGGUGGAGCGGUGAAAUGCGUAGAUAUCAUUUGGAACGCCAAUGGUGAAAACAGGUAGCUGGGGCUGUGCUGACGCUGAGACACGAAAGCCAGGGGAGCAAACGGG